rnacentral:lncRNA from 1 species
CGUGAAUAAUGAUUGACGAGAGCCACAGCGGCCUAACUUCUGAAGGAACUAAAAUGGGGAAUCGGGAUGCAGUGGCAUAAGAAGGACCUUUGUGUAGCAGCAGUAGGUACCUUCACUUGGGCUAGCUUUGUGACAGCUGGGGUUGAGCCUACAGCUUUAUUCUCCAUCGGCUGAGAAAGGUGAAAGUUCAGUAGUUCUGAUUUUGGUCCAUGACUUCUAUAGAUCUCAGCUUAGGUACAGCAUUAGGUGAAAUUUUUUUUUUCCUGGUACUUGAUUCUGAAAUGAUCAGCCUUUCAGGUAAGAUGAGUAGGCUAAGAUCACAGCGGUAAUUACGCACUCAUUUACUUGCCAGGUUUUUAAGUAAAAUCUCCUUUGUUCCAGGCUUUGUGUGAGGUGAAAGGACACAGAGAUGCAUGGCCCAUUUCUUCAAGCAUUUUACAGUCUGGACUUCAGUGGGAGAGACAGACAUGUAAACAUCCGGUGCCACCCUUCACUGUGAAUGAAUUCAAGAAAUUCAACAGGUGGGGAGAGGAGUCAAGAUGGCACUGUGAGAACAACCCAGGAGUGGAGCUCGCGUUGAAUCCGCAAACGGUGAGUCCGAGCUGCAUUUCCAGACUGAUCUUUGCUGCCCACAGAAUGAGGAAACUCCCAAGUAUAAAAAGACACGGGACGCCAGGCAGUAGGUCUGCCUGGCGAAGCCAGCAGCCGGGGCAGCGGCGGCCGGCCCUACCCAGCAAUCCCCACAGGGCGCGCUUGUCCGGGUGCGCUGUUGAACCGGCAACCUGAGACUUGAGAGGGCUGGACUUGAGACUGAAUGAGACUUGGACAGUAGCCCAGCCCAGGGGAUUGCAGGGACAGAUCGUUUGGGAUACCCAGUGGGACGAACAAAACCGCAAUUUCAAACUAUCCCGAGCAGACGGUCCGAGACGCUCUGUGGGGGAGGGGCGUACACCACUACCGAGGCAACCCGCCCCAACUGAGAUACACGCCCACUGCUGACGCAGCCAGCCAUUGCCGAGGCAACCCGCCCCAACUGAGAUACACGCCCACUGCUGACGCAGCCUGCCGUUGCUGAGGCAACAUGCUACAAUGAAGAGACUCCACCGCAGGGCGUGGCGGAGACCACAGCAGAGCCUGCAGGAACAGGGCGAAUCACACAACAGCAGGGCGGAGCCUCGGCAGCCAAACAGUGGCUAGUCUGCCUUCUAGCUGGGCAGGACACUUCAUCGAACAUCCAAAAAUAAAGCCCAAACCCCUCAACACAGAGCAUUUGAGAAAAAAAAGGGGGUUUUUUUAAUGAGCUCUGUUGCAGCAGAAUCAAACAUAGCAGCCUAACAGCCCUGAAUGAACAACAGAACGCACAGCUCAGCAAUUAAGCCCAUAUAAAGUACAAACUGUCUCCUCAAGCAGCUCCCUGACCCCUCUAUAUCCAAAAGACUGACAUUAGGCAGGCAUCAUCCUGGGACAAAGAUAGCAGAAAAAGAAACUGGUAGCAUCCCUCGCUGUGCCACAGCUGCUAGAGGUGCACCCCAGACAAGCAGGGUCUGGAGCAGACCUCAGCAGUCGUACAGCGAAGGGGCUAGACUGGUAGAAGGAAAACCAAGCAACAGAAAUACUUCAUCAUCAACAUUCUGGGUGUCCACUCAGAGACCCAAUCGAAAAGUAAGCAACGACGCAGACGAC